rnacentral:misc_RNA from 1 species
GCAAACUUGGUCAUUUAGAGGAAGUAAAAGUCGUAACAAGGUUUCCGUAGGUGAACCUGCGGAAGGAUCAUUACCGUUGAUGCGUGUUGCGGCCGCUGGGUAGUGCGUGUUGGAUCAUGUCGAUCUGACAUACACUGCACUGCACGCUGCACACGCUUUCAAACACACAAACCCCUUCUCUCGCUGCACACGUGCGUCACAUGUUGUGUUGUGCGUGGCGGCGAAUGUCAACAGACACACAACGUUGCGUGUUAUAUAUGUACAUGCUGUGUGUACCACACACGUGUAUGUAUAUACACACAUACUAAACAUCAUCAACAAACACAAAACAAUACUGACCCACCGUUGGUCUGAGAUUGAUUGAUGAUGACUUCUUGUCAUCAAUAAUCAAAAACACAAAAAACUAACAUCUAUUACAACUUUUAACAACGGAUAUCUUGGCUCGCGCAUCGAUGAAGAACGCAGC